rnacentral:tRNA from 1 species
UGUUCUGUGGCUUUGUUUAGUAAAGCGCCGGAUUAGUGCUACGGAGUCGUGGGUUCGAAUCCUGCCAGAACAA